rnacentral:tRNA from 1 species
GGGAGUUUGGUCUAGUGGUAUGAUUCUCGCUUUGGGUGCGAGAGGAAGCUAGUUCGAUUCUCGCAACUCCCC